UACAGAGGGGGCGAGCGUUGUUCGGAAUUACUGGGCGUAAAGGGCGCGUAGGCGGCCACCGCAAGUCGACUGUGAAAUCUCCGGGCUUAACCCGGAAAGGUCAGCCGAUACUGCGGGGCUAGAGUGCAGAAGGGGCAACUGGAAUUCUCGGUGUAGCGGUGAAAUGCGUAGAUAUCGAGAGGAACACCUGCGGCGAAGGCGGGUUGCUGGGCUGACACUGACGCUGAGGAGCGAAAGCGUGGGGAGCAAACAGG
rnacentral:rRNA from 1 species